UGGGGAAUAUUGGACAAUGGGCGCAAGCCUGAUCCAGCCAUGCCGCGUGAGUGAUGAAGGCCCUAGGGUUGUAAAGCUCUUUCACCGGUGAAGAUCAUGACGGUAACCGGAGAAGAAGCCCCGGCUAACUUCGUGCCAGCAGCCGCGGUAAUACGAAGGGGGCUAGCGUUGUUCGGAUUUACUGGGCGUAAAGCGCACGUAGGCGGACUUUUAAGUCAGGGGUGAAAUCCCGGGGCUCAACCCCGGAACUGCCUUUGAUACUGGAAGUCUUGAGUAUGGUAGAGGUGAGUGGAAUUCCGAGUGUAGAGGUGAAAUUCGUAGAUAUUCGGAGGAACACCAGUGGCGAAGGCGGCUCACUGGACCAUUACUGACGCAGAGGUGCGAAAGCGUGGGGAGCAAACAGG
rnacentral:rRNA from 1 species